UAGCUUCGUCCAUUCAACAAACCACACCUCAGCUCUCUCUCUCUUUGCGUUUCUCCCGAGUCUCUCUCUAAAUUAUCCCAUGCCAUCGUUGGCUUCCUUUGCGCCGCGGAUCUCUCGAUGCCUACCGGGAUCCCCCCGGGUCACCGCGGCCAGGUUUCAUCCAGACCCCGUCGCCGUUCUCUCUCUAGCGGUAUCAUGGUUCUGGUUGUGGCAGUCUUGAUGCCGGUGACUCGGUGGGAUCCAGCGACUGAGAUCUUGCCGGCCAGGGAGCUUGCUCCAUCGAUCUCGAUUUAUCGAAUUUCCCCUUAAAUUAGCGGGGCUGCAGAAUUUAUGUUCGGCAAUGCGAGCACCCGGAAUUGAGAUGUUCGACGAGACACUGAUUGGCGGCAAUGGGCACCACGUUCGGCAAACACACGAUGGCCGGCAGUUCAGGGUUCUGUGCUACAGCGUCAAGUUAUACUCUACUGCCUUGGAGUAAAUUUCACCUACCAGCCUCUUGUGCACUGUCGGAGCUGUCUGUAAAUAAACGAGCAAGUGCAGCUGGUUUGCAUGGUUCAGUGCUGAAGCCUCGCUUGACAUCAACUUAGUUUGCGAUCCCUUGCCAUUCAAGUCUUGUGAGGUUUCGUUGCUAGAUUUGCAAGAUCUCCCUAGGCACACAAGUUAUUUGAAGCUGUGGAUUUCUCGUUGAAGAAUAUGAAGUAACUUUGCAGUCUGAUUUUCACCAGCCUAAAUUUUGACCAAUGCUGGUAGAUUUUCAUAAGCCAAGAAGUAUGCGCUCACAACCGCGUCUUGCUUAAGCCAAGAAAAGAUUGCUUCUAAGAUGAAUUUGCUGAACAAGACCCUUGGCUGCUCUGAUGACCUGCUGCAAAUUACGAUCGUCAAGCACCCAAGACUCGAGGUUUCAGCCUGAAAGGAAGGCUGCUGUCCUGAUAUAUUGUCAUGAAGAUACUAUAGGACAGGGGGCUUAUGAGUCCUAAGUUCACCCCAUUGGGUGAUGCGAAUGAUGUAUACAUCACUUCAAGGUCGACUAUUACAAGGAGAGUGUUCCUGAGCUUGCAGACGUGUAUGCAUCAGUUCGCACCCCGGCGGCGUCGAGCAGCAACAUCAUAACUGUGCCUCGAUCCUCUGUCAAGACUUGUAGGAGAAGCUUUUCUGGGGCGAGGCCGAUGGUGGCCAUACGCCAAGGCCCAAUCGCCGCGGGCUUCGACGACACCAUGCCCGGGUCGGUUUCGGCGUGCAGUUGAUGGGGGGCGUGGCAGUUGGUGGAGGAAGCCACGGGAUUUCUUGGCAUCACGACAUCGGAGGGCGUGCGGGCCGGCAGCUGGAACCCGUGCGGUCCGGCAGCUGGAACCCGUGCGGUCCGGUGGUGGUUGAUAAGGCCACGGUCAUGGCUACCCAAGGCCGCGAGGGAUCAGGAAAGGGCCAAGUAUGGGAGGUGUGGGAGAGCAAACGGCGGGGAGAGGCUAUGGGGAACAUGAGAAAGCACACAGCGGCGCUAGCCUGUGGGCUGAAAGAGAAGACUGAUUCCCCUUCGAUUGUUUUUUGUGUCCUUCAUUGUUGAGUCAGAGAGGCAUGUAGGCUUUUUGAGAGUUCACUGUGAAUAAUUUUUUGAGCUUAUCACCGUGAAGUUAUUUUUAUUACCCUUAUUAUUUUAAGGUUAUAAAUGUUCAUCUAUUCAUUUUAUUAUGACAUGUAUAUUUCUUUUUUAAUCAUACAAACUUACGAUCGAAAGUGGUGGAAAGAAUUUUUUUUCAGGAAGUA